rnacentral:lncRNA from 1 species
AGACCGCCCAGGAGGCGGCGGCUAUUGUUCCCCGCAGGGGCCCGGGGCGCCCUGAAACGGGGUCCACGUCAGCCCGCUCCCGAGCGUGUCCUCAGGUCUAAGGACGGAUCUGGGGACCCUUCACCUGCCUCUACUACUGCAAAUGAUUGGAUAUUCGUCUGACUUGGCUCUUCCCUAAUGUGUGGAACUAAUUUUGUUCACUCUGUUUCAUGCUGGACCUGGCCUGAAAAUGGGCCCUUAUAUUGUCUUUGCACUUUCCAACUUGCCAAGUUUCUGAAAGAAGGACCAAAGUAAUGCCAAGAACUCCCAGAUGAAGAGGACCUUCCUUAGACCUAUAACAGAUUCACUACUUGACUUCAGAGGGAAGUUUCAGCUAAUUCUCAGGAAAAGGUCAAAACAGGCCUGUGACUGUCCCUUGAAUACUGAAGGUAUAAACAAGCUUCUGGCUCCUCCAGGUCAAGCAGAGGAACACUUUUAUUAGAAUGAAGGGUUACUUCUUUGUUAUUCAAACACACACCCACACACAUCCUCUGUAGUCUCCCUAAUGAAAAACCUCAACAGAUGGAGAGCCUGAGCUCCCAAG